rnacentral:lncRNA from 1 species
UCUUUGUCUGUCUCUGCUACAAAAAUGUCCCAUGAACGAUCACCCAGAUCCACAACAAAAGCAUGACUUAAAAUUUGUUUCAAAAAACCAGCAAAGUCUCUUCGCACAAUUGGUCCAACAAACCACCCACGGCCCAAUGGCCAAAUCCCGCAAGCUAGGUACUCUUCAACCAAGUCCCUGCCACUACAAGUAACCACAGCAAAAUUGAAGGCCUGAUCAUCGCGAUCCCUCUCUGCAACUACAUAGCACCAAAAAGCCUCAAACUAAAAUGAAGACAUAAUGCUUGGCUGAGGCCAUGACUUGCCCUCCUGAUAGCGCACAUAAAACUAGCUCUCCGUCCACCCUCACUUGUUCUUUGUAUAGGGGGCUAACUCAACCACCUUCUUCUUGGUCUCGCCCGCCUUCGGGUAAACGUAAAGCACUCGAACUGAUCAACAACCCCAUCCAUAACCCUUUCCUAUCAAUGCAUGCAAUAGCGUUUAGCGAAGACCUCAACUGAUGGAGAGCUCCAUCGAAGGUGGUCGUCGCAUAAACAAACUUGCUCAAAGCCACUAUAGCAUUCAGUGUCAAUUGGUGAAGUCGAACCUUGUAUUUUUCAAGCACCCCAAGUAGAAACUCGUGGCAUGGCAAGCGAGUUCCGACAGCAAAAAGUCUCUCGAAGACCAUGACCUCGCCUUUCGGUCGUGGUGUGGUUUCUGCUCCUGUGGCCUGGCCAUAACCAGUAGGAAAGUGCCCCAAUGAUAUCAUCAUCUCCUUAACUCUCUACAACGAGGUUUUUGGCCCACCCAACUCAUAGUUUUUAGGGCCUAGCCCACCACAACGACCAACCCUAGCGAAAGACAAAGCGGCACCUGACUCGACCGCUGGAGUAGUAGGAGUUAUCCCGCUGCUCGGCAACGGCGGCGGCGGCGUCACCAUACUACCACCACUUGGAAGAGGAGGCAUGACUGUGUACUGAGGACAAUGAUGACUGGCGGUUUUUAGGCAUGUCAAUGUGGAGGAGAUCGACAUCGUUCUCUCCGCCAGCAGCGCAACUAAUAGUGGCUUCAAAAACGACACCGCGGUAGCCUAGCCUUGGGACCGCGCAAGCGGGCAUUUAUAGUCAAAUCCCAGUGGCUAACAAUACAACCAUUGAUUUUUUUUUAACGGUCACAUCCAGCGGCCCCCCGAGGUGAUUCACCAAAUGAUCGAGGGCAGCACUUGUCCCCAUCAAAUGAAGGACUUCGGGAUUGGCCCUUCACGAUGAACCAUUCCCUCAGGGGCUGCUAUUGGAGUGGUGGUCGAACCAGUCCUCGAUCAGCAACGUGAAGGUUUGCCCCUCGUCUUGACUAACCAUAAUUGUACAUGACCACAAACAACCGGAGCCUUCGCCUCUUAGCGAUUUUGAUGGAGCCUCCAAUCCAAUAGCUAACGACCGACUGUGAUGAGGACAGGCACCCAAGCGAAGGACCAAGCACGGGACAAGUAUCAAAACUAAGGACUUCGCUGAGCAUGACUCAAUGGCCUUCAGCACAAGCUACUCUCCCAAAAAGCCCGAAGGGCAUCAAGGCGUGAAGGCUCCCCGGAUGACAAUGAAAGCUUCAGGGAAUGUGACCCAUCCAAAUUGCUAGUCUAGAGCAGGCUCCUUGGAGGGCCCACAUGUCAUUGUAACUAGUGGGUAUAACUAUGAGUGCACACCAUUAAAGGGGGUUGUGGUGUUGUAAUUACCCUGUUACACGAAAUAUUGUGAAAUUGUAGUUAGUAACCAAGGGUAUGAACAUACUUUAUACCACCUAUCCUAGGUUGCCCUAUAAAUACCCCCGUCAUGUAGCUAAAUGGGACACGCAUAACGAGACGCUACAGUUUCCUACCUAACGUUUUGUUGUGCAUUGUGCCCUCCUUUCCACCUUUGAGUGUUCGGGUCCACCUAUCAGUACCCAAUAGGCCCCUUAGACUUAAAGUAUUUAUUCAUUUGUUGCCUAACAAGCAAUGAAGUAGAUAACUAGUUAUACACUUCAUUCUUAUAAAUAAAUUUGAUAUUGUAAACUAAAAACACAUUAAGAUAAACUACAAUGAUUAAUUGAUUAUUCGAAAUUAAAUCCAAUGUCUUUGCUAGUCUAUGGGCACUACUUUCUAAUUGCACACAAUCGAUCUGAGUACUGAGGAACAAAUGCAAGAUAGUAGGAGGCAAAGUCGUAGAGGAAGAAGUAGAGGCGAAGUCGCAAAACAUCAAACAACGCACGAGCAAAGGGAGUCAAACGAGUGAGGGAGAACGGUAGCCGGCAGACUGCGCUUCAGAUCCUCGUAUACGUAAAUUGGUCUCGGUGGCUGGCCCCCUCCAUCGUGGGCCCCUGGCUGUCGCUCUUGUGGCCAUGGUUCAGAGCCAGGCCUAAUUAAUUCUCACACAAAUGGAACCCUUACAACAUCUCCAACAGUAAUCCUAAAUGGAAUUGUAUUUUAAAAUAUAUGACUCUAACACCAAAAACUUGCUCAAACAAAGAUCCUAUUUCACAAAUUCAUCAAUUAAUUAUAGGUCUUGGCCUCUCUGGUCCUAAAUAUUGGAUCCCAUAUGUUAGAGCCCUAUCCUUGUUUUGUAUAUUAUUCCCAAUCUUUUAUUUUCUAAAUAACAUGAUCUAUUUCCUAAUAACAUGAUAUAAGACUCGACUAUUUGAGCUGCAAAUGUUUUUGGCCCUAAACUCUUGAAAUCAUGUUCUAUUAUAAUUUUAGUACUCAACUUCUUGUUGGAGAAUCUAAGCACAAAUGGAAGUUUGUGGAAUUUAGGAGCAAGCAAUCUGAGCUUGUUGAUAAGACAAGUCUAGAUUGAGGAAGGCUGAUAGAAUUAGUUAUCAAUCUGGGGGUGUUUAGUUUCUUUAGUCACCCUCCUAAAUUUUUAAAACUAAAUUCCAGUUCCUAGAAUUUCUAUCUAGGAGGUCUCAUCUAAAGUUUCGCAUAAACCUGGCGACUCACACUUUUGGUCCGGGCUCAUGAAAGUUAAGGAUGUUUUAUUUAGCCUUGGUGUUUUUACCCUUAGAAAUGGUGAACAAAUUAGGUUUUGGGAGGAUAAAUGGUUAGGUAACCAAACCCUCAUGGUUCAAUACCCAUCCUUAUACCAAAUUGUUCGGCAGAAAAGUGCCACAAUUGCCAAUGUCUUCAUAUAUGUCCUGCUUAAUGUUUCUUUUGUAGAGCUUUAGUGGGUCAUAACUUGGUUUUAUGGCAUAACCUUGUUCAGCAUCUUGUGUAUGUUAGAUUAAAUACUGGAAAAGAUUAUUUUAGUUGGAAUCUAACCUCAUCGGGGCAAUUUACUGUUCAACCGAUGUAUAGGACUUUGAUCAACAAUGGUUAUGUCUUCCAUCACAAAGUUCUUUGGAAAUUAAAAUUGUCUUUGAAGAUAAAAAUCUUUGUAUGGUAUUUACUCAAAGGAGUGGUACUCACUAAAGAUAACUUAGCAAGACGAAAUUGGCAGGACAAUUAAAAAAUGUGUGUUUUGUGUUAAAGAUGAAACAAUUCGACAUUUAUUUUUUCAUUGCCGCUUUGCCAGUCAUUUGUGGCGACUUUUGUUUUGGUGUUUUGGUGUGAGACCACCUCGGUCAAUUCACCAUGUUUUUGGGAACUGGCUAAUGGGCGUGGAUUAAAAAGCUAGAAAGCUUAUUAUUUCAGGUGUUUCAGUUUUAUGCUGGGCUAUCUGGAUAAGUAGGAAUGAUUUAGUUUUUGGCAACGUCCCUAUGCUAACUUCUCUAUAGGUACUCCUCAGGAGAACUGUUGGGGACUUGUUCUCAAAUGCUAUGAAUUAAGAACAAGGCAACAUAAAAUGUUAAAUAUUAAUGCCCUUCGUCCACUGAAGCAUUAUUUCCCCAAAGAUUUAAUGAACUUCGGACGAAGGCCACGAGCAAGAUAUCACGAAGGUCAUACCUUCGUGAUUAGAGUUAUGAAACAAUGUAGGAUGAAAUAUAAAAUAUUUGAAACAUAAGGGAAUGAUAUAUCAAAAACACAUAAGAUUAUUCGUAUAUUUUUUUAUACAAGCCUAAAUAUUAAAACAUAAUAUUUAGGUACAUUUAUACCUUCGCCUUGGCAGAAAGCAAUAAUUCCAGCGUAAUGUGUCAGUGAUUACAAGAUUGCGUGAACAGUACAGGGGUACUGUUCACCUAUUUAUAGGCACAGGGCGCAGCCUGUGUAUAAUUACAUUUAUGCCAUUUACAAUCAACUACAAUAAUGACACAGAAUAUCAUGGGUCUUUAGGUCAUUUCAUCUUUAAGUCGGUUCACCCCUUCGUCUUGAGACAUGUCACUUGUGCCGAAGCUUUAUAGGCGAUAGCUUCGACAUUGCUUUUGAUAGGAUCUGCCGAAGGUGUUUCUUUCUUUAGGAUCUUCGGCUAUGAAGCAUACCCCCAACAGUAGCCCCUUCGCGGUGCUAGAUCGUUUUUCGUAAAGAGCUUGAUUCGUGAAAAAAUCUUCUAGGCUUCGGGAUGCCGAAGAUCUGAAAACACCUUCCUUGAGCUCGUUGCUGAGAAACGAUUAAAAUAAUCUGUGCGCGAGGUGGCCCCAUCUUCUAGCAGUUGCGCGUGCCCUGGUGAUUCACCUUCUCGGACUCUGUGGCCCACCGUUCAGUGAGUGCGGGUGACUGUUUGUCUGGUGCGGAAGACCUUAACGAUUUACCUUCCCACCUGUGGCACUAUAUAAAUAGAUGGGUAGGUGUGAAGUUAUCACAACAUUCAUUGCUAUUGCACUGUUUUGCUACCAAAACAUUGACCAAAGCCGAAGCUUGCUUACUGCAUCUUCAUCCGAAGCUAUUUGUUUUACUCAAGCUUCGUAACAAGAAAAACUUCGGCAAAGUUAAAAAUUUUCAACUUCAUUCGAAAAACAAGAAAUUCAAUCAUCAGAUGGCCAGAGUACGUUCAACAGCUAGGGUUACUCGCGACGGAGAGGAAGCCGAAGGUACCGAAACUGCUCCAAUCUCUGAAGUGAUGAAGCGUUCAGGGCUGGUAGUAUCGGAGGAUGCACCUGCCGCUGAAGCUGAGAAGGCUGAUGCUGAGGAAGUUGAGUCAGAAGAUGAUUACAGCGUAGUGCCAACUAAACCCAGCCACCUGGAGUUUGGGAAAUCCACCAUUUCCGAAGAUGACAUGUCGAAGCUGAUGAAUUUGGGCUAUUUCAAUGAAGCGAAGAAAGAGCUGGUUCAUUUCAGCGGGGAGGAGAUUACUCCGAAGCCAGGAAAGGAUGAAGUAGUCAUCUUCAAAAGCUUCUUUAAAGCUGGUUUAAGAUUUCCUUUAAACAAGAUGAUUGCUGAUGUUUUGAAGAAGUUUGGGAUCUAUCUUCAUCAACUAACUCCUAACGCUAUCGUUAGGCUUAGCUGUGACGGAACCUCCCAAGUAAUUAGGCCCACCUACAGUUGUCCUUGUCCAACGGACCUCAGACAACCCUGUAGGUGCCCCUGGAUCACUUGACAAGUUCGGUAUCUUCUUUCUUACCUUUCCAGGAACGUUUCACCCGUCUUGCAGACAUUACAGAACAUUGGAGAUAUAGAAAUGCGGAAGCGAUUACAUAAACUUACAUUUAUUUAGAAAUUAAGAUCUAGUUAUUUAUUACAGACCAGAGCUAUAAAACGAGUGCUGAGUAGUAUUAUUACAAUACCAAGGGAGGCAAAAACUCCUCCCGAUAGUUUUAUAAAAGUUUUUAUGGAGGACCAAGUCCUCCCGCAGCUUCACUCUUGUUUCUCUUCAUUUGGAAACCACCUUGGAGCAAAAGCAACAAAAGUUUGUUGCUUCCCCACCUAAAAACAACGGGGGAAUAAACCCUGAGUAUGGAAUUACUUAGCAAGUCUUACCCGACUAAAGAAAAGACUCUCAAGGGUAUGCUGGUUAAGGGAGUCAAGGUAUGGCUUCUCAAUAAUUAAAGACUCUGUUUUGCAGAAAUGCUUACUAAAGUGGAUCCUUAAAAAUCCAGUUUUAUUUGUCAAGUUAAGUAAAAUUACCUGCAACUAGAGUUCUUUCUACCCUAGUUCAAUCACUUGACCUACACUAGCCAGUUUCUUAACAAAACCUUUCAUCUUUACUGGAGUUCUACGUAUAGGGCAGUGACCAAGUCUUCAUAACCACGAAGGUACGGCGAUCCGAAUCGAUUAUACUCAGCUGAGGAUCUCCAAUCACACGACAUAUGUAGCACUUAACCUUGCAUAUGUCAACCCGCCACCGGGGUUCUUAAGACCAGACCAGGUUCACGCGAACCGAGAGCACAGAUACACCACCGUCCAGCCUCUUGCUACGGAGGGUACACGCUACUCUCGCCACCGCUCCACGCUCAUUCCGUGUUAUCUUAUUCUGGCCUUAGUCUGCUCGAGGCAAGGCUUACCCAUGACGAGGCAUGUGACCAGUUAAAGGGUUCUCGGUUAGCAAGCCUACGUCGACACGGUCCUUAAUCGACUCAGACGAAGACACUACACCGAGACUCCUUUCUCGUGCAAGUCACCCGCCCGGUCUCAGCUUAAUCAUUUCAACCCAAAAACUUGGUACCUGGCAGAGGUACAUCUUUUCCGAUGUUGAACCCAUCACGGCCAUGAUGGAUCCACCAUCACAUUUUAUUUUUGAAAACAACCCUCCCACAUUGCCAAACAUCUUUUGUAAAACAAAUCCUUUUGUUUUUCUAGAGCAAUACUAAGCAUAGUAAAACCUUUUUGUAAAAACGAGGUUUCAAGGAAGGUAAUCAAGUUCAAGGAAGGUAAUGCAGGAAUUGUUUAAGCAUUCAACUCCUAUCACCUAAUGCAGCAAGCAAGUGAGAAAGAUUUUAAAAACAUCAAGGAAGGUGGCAAAUGCACCAGGGCUUGCCUUCGUUAGUAGGUGAGUCAGGCUCGGACCCGCAGAUAUCAAAGUAGAAACAAUUUCCGGCCUGAGAUUCCGAAGGUGGUGGUGUCUUCUCUUCAGUUACUUCGAUCUCUUCUUCGUUUUCUAAAUAUAACCAUAUAGGUAUAUAUAAGAAUGAAUGCCAUGUAAUGCUCAUGAGAGUGCAAAGAUAAUAAAGGAUUUAUUAUCUAAGUCUUGAAUACAACUUUCCUUCAUGGAACUCCGAGAACUUAGGGUUUCCGGAGUCAGAAAAGGAGUUCAAAGGGCAGGGGUGGGGGUUUUGGGUUCUAGUUAUCAAACAAGGUUCAAAUCAAACCAAACUCUACCCAAGGCUUCUAACUAAUGUGUAGAGCUCACAUAAAAAGUUUGGGGCAUUUUUUAAAUUACCAUUUAUUUUCUAAAAAUCCAGAACCAAUAGUUUAAGCUAUUUUAAAUACUCUAAAAUUGCCUAUUUGAUCUAAAAUAAUGAAACUAUUUUUAUUAAAUACUAUAGAAAAUAGGAAGUCUAGGAAAAUUGGUUUUACAAUUUUAGGAUUUUUCUACAAUUUUCUAUAAUUGUUGGAGUUCUACUGGAAAAAGAAAAAGAUAAAGAAUGAACAGUCCUGGGCCGAUUUCAGCCCAGGCAGCCCAACACCAGAGGGAAAGCACGCGCGCGCGCCCACGGGGAAGACUAUGCAGAAGAGCCCUCACGGUUUUGGCUAAUUGGAGAUGGGUUCGGUCACUGUUGCACUGAGUCGUGACUGUUUGCAGAAAAGACCCCCGGUUUCUAUUUCUUCGCAGGGGGAGGUCCACGACGGCGGUGAACGCGGGGAGGCUCCGGCGAGCUUGCAGACCGGCCGAACGGGGCCAUGACCGGCGCUAUCGAGCGGCGGACACGAAAUUGGAUCCACCCUGACCAUUUCCCCCAACACAAUUUCACUAAUGGUCACAAGGUUUGUUCUAGCCACGGCGACCGUGAACAUGGCGGACUGUUGAGCGCAUUCCCAAUGAAUCAUGGCGGUCCAGAUCAAUUAAAGGGGCCGGGGAGCAUCACCAGCAUGCAGAGACACGAGAACAAUGCGCGAAUUGGAUGGUGCCUUACCAGAACGGACUGGCCACGGUGGAGUUGUGCUUUGCGGUGGCGGAGACCAAUUUGGGGAAAGUUCGAAAUUCACGAGCUCUAGCAAACGAUUGCUAACGAUUCUCGGUGGCUGGGUGGGUGACGAUCUUGCGCAGCAGUCCCGGCCUUCAAUUUAUAGGGAGCUUCGACGGUGGCGUGCAAUUUGGCCGAGCAACGCAGGUGGCCGAAGAUAAGGAAGAAUACCGGCGUAGUGAAUACGUGUUCAACGUCGUGGCAGCUAUUCCAGUGGGCAACGGUGAGCUAAAGUGAAUCGUGGCGAUGCGGUGGCGAGGAUCAGACACGCGGCGAACAACGGCGACGGCACAAAGGCGGUGAGAUUCUAAUCCGAGGGGCGGUGAGAAAGGGGAGAAGUAUCGUGGCUAGCCGGAAUGGCGUCCAGCUCACCGGCGACGAAGAUCUUUCACCCCGCGACGCUAUCCAUCCACCCUGGGCACGAAUCGUGACGUCGACAGCAUGAAUCACAGCGGAGGGAGCCGUCGGCGGUGAGGUCAGUCGCGCUGGCGAUCUGAUCCAUACACGACACUGUACCAUGGCGAGUGCUCCUUCAAAUAACCUGACGGAGCAACUUUAGGUCCUAUUUUCUCCAGAUUUUCUAUGGUACCAAGCCCAAACAUCUAUAGCAAAGUUGUUCCUCUUUAAUAACUCUACAACUUUGUUAUAGAAACCCUAGGUAGAUUCUCACUGGAUCUUAGUCGAAAUGGAUCUCAAACUUGGAUCCAAGUCACUGUCUAUCUGAAAUUCAGACUGUAUGAGCCUGACAGCCUGACUUCAGGCUUAAUUAUCUCCAACAUCUUCUUAACAACUAUGCUUACACUCUUAAGCAAAGUUGUUAUCCUAUGAUUGGUCUACAAAUUUGAUGUGGUGACCUAGGGCAAACUCUCACAAAUUUGAAAACUACAGAGCUCCAAAGUUGAGCCAAAACUCUGAAAUUCAGACUUAGGCUAUAUAGGACUUAAGAGGUGAUUUUUGCAAAUAGACCCAAAACUUAGGGUUUAACUUGCAAAUUCACAUAUUUGUGAACCAAAGGACUUAAUAUGCCUUAACAUUGUAGUUUUUACACUUUAGUCCAAAUGUGCACAGUUUUUGCACAUAGGCCCCUAGGGUUUGGACUUAGGGUUUUCUAGGGUUCCAAUGGGGGUUUUUGCAGGGGUAUGAAUGUGAUUCAAGUUCAUUCUUGGGAACAUUUUAUGACUAUUCCCCUAAAGCUUUUGGGUCUUCUCAAUUUGGGUUAUGUUUUACCCCUUUAAUCCCUAUUUAGGGUUAAGUUCCCUAUCCAGGGUUCUAUUUGCAAAAUGCUAUAACAAUACAACUUGUUUGAAAUUUUUACCUAGUGAAUGCACUCUAGGUGUAUCAAACAUAUGCAAUGCCAAUGUUUAUGAUGCCAUGCUCAAGUUUUAGUUACAGUAACACCAGGGGUGUUACAUUAGCGUUUAUAUCUGGGUUCUCCGAAGCCAAGGGGUGGAACCGUUUGCCGAAGGCUUCUGCCGAGUGCACGAGCUUCAUUAUCAGACCAAGGCUAAAGGAGAUGGGCUGCAUGAAAACUUUGGCUGCUACAAUUUUGCCUAUCGCAAGAGUACAAAAUUUCCAGUGAUCAGUUAUCGUAGCAAGUGGCCAGCUGGCUGGAAGUCUGAGUGGUUUUACGUCAAAGUUGACGAAGAUAAGGAGAAGUUGGUCCAGAGUCCGCUAGAAUUAAUCUUUGGAGAGACCAGACCCCAGUGCAACAUGACACCAGGGAGUCCAAGCCAAAUUGCUCUGGCUGAAUUUAGAGUUAUUGCGGAGCAUAUCGGCACUAGGGACUUAGUGCAAGAAUUCUUGGCUUUCAGAAUGUUCCCAACUUUAAAAGAGUGGGACAUGCCGAAGCUUAAAGGAGAAAAGAAGAAGGGGGAACUUAUUCGGUUACCCUAUCAUUAUAAAUUCAAGAAAUAUUUCAAAGUGCCUUGCCAAGAGUGGCUAGACACGAUUGAAAUAAUGUGCAAUGAGAUUCUCGACAAUUACUCUAAAAAAGAAGAUCAACUAAUGACUGCAGCCUUCGGCACCCGUCCGAAGCGAAGGUUGUACCGAGUAAUGGAUGCUCUAGGCUUUGAGUAUCCCGACUACGAGCGGCUAGACAAGGAUGCCGAAGGGCAGAAGAGAAAGAGAGUGGCUGGUGCUUUGAGUAAAGAAGCUACUAAAUCAAUGAAAGACGAUGAAGAACAAUUGAAAAAGAAAAAGCUAAAGCCUGAGCCGAAAACAGAUGCUUCGAAGAAGAGAAAAGCUACAACUCCGAAGCAGAAGGCAAUUGAUGAAGAAGAAGAAACUGCUGCAACACCCUCUGCCUCUGACGUGGAGGAAAUCUUAAAGGUAAUGACUGAAUCUUUGCCUGUCAAGCUAAGCCCACUGGGGCCACAUCUGACAAAGCUUUUUCAGAAGGAAAAGGAGCCCACAAAAACGAAGAAGGCAGCUAGGCCGAAAAACAAAGAAUCAUUACAGUGACGGAAGUCAUUGAAGGGACACCACCACAAGCUUCAGCUCCGAAGGCACGAGCUGUUGAGAGCACAAUAGCUACCGAAGCUGCACCUUGCCACAACCGAAGAUAUUCACUUAGAAAGCACGAUUUCUAAUAUUGAUAAAAUACUGCUAGACAUGGCCGCAGAAGAAGCUGCUGCAGCCACCGAAGAGACUACGGCCCGAGAGCCCGAGAAGAAGAAAGAAAUAGCCGAAGACACUUCGGAAGAUGAAAUUUUCAACUUUCAAAACUUAGUUGGUCAAGAGCUGACAAAGGCUGAAAAAGAGGAGCUAAAAGAGUAUGUCAUAUCUUGCGGAUAUCGGCCGAAGGCACUUCUCUUCGGUGGUGUCGAUGACGAAAAGUUGGGCUGUGUCCGGGAUCAUACCAGAGCGAAGGUUAUUGGUACUCUAUCAAAGAGUAUUGGUUUCCCGAAGCUCGAGACGGACAUUAGCCGCUACCGACGACAGCACAUCGUCGGUAGUUUAUUCUAUUCCAAUUUCAAGGUAAACAACUUUUCUUUAACUUUUAUUGUUUCAAUAACGAAGAUGUUUUCUAACGAAGGUUGUUUGUGCGCAGAGUAUGCUUUUGAGUAAAGCUUUGAAAAUGCAGCAAGAUUUGGAAGAUAAAAAAAAUGAAGUUAUAAUUGAGAGUUUAGAAAGCAAAAUAAAAGACCAAUCAGCUGCUCUUGAAAAGAAGGACUUCGAGCUUCAGACAACCGAAGGCUUAUUGGCAGAAGCUGAAGCUAAAAUAGCAGAACUAAAUAUGAAGCUUCUCUCCCAGUCAGAAAGCUUCGAACAAGAAAAACAGAAGCUUAAUGCAAAAUUCGAGGUCGAGGUCCAGAAAAGUUCAGAUUUGCAAAAAAUCAUUGACAGGGCUUCAAAACAAAUGUCUGGAGUUCAGUAAUCGAUGUAUACAACGACUGAAGCAGGUCUUUUAUUUGGUUGGAGCCAGCAGCGAGAAAUUUAAUCCUUCGACUGAAGACUUGCCAGGGGCCUUCGAACAUAUCGAAGGUGAAAUUGAUGACCUUGAUGAAGUUAUAGCUGGACAUGGUGACUUUUGUGCCCUGGUAGCUUCUCGGGGCACAGCUGUCGCCUUCCUGAAAUCUGGCUGCGAACAUGGAAAGGUUGUCAAUAGACCCAAUUUUAGUUUAUCACCAGCAGAUCUGAAUAAUAUUCCCAACCUUGCCCGAAGUAUAGCCAAUAGAUUUAUAAAACUGGUAUGGACAAAGGGUGGACGAAGCAUAGCUGGUGAUGAAGCUCGGAGUCAUCUUAAGCCGGUAACAAAAUCAUACCUUGUGCUUACCUCUUCCUUCAAAUUUGAAUCUUCCUUACAAUACUUUAAUAUAUACAGGAUGACGAAGCCGACAAAGCUGAAGAGUAAGAAGACGAAGCCGAAGCUUAACAGAUGACGAAGUCGAAGCCGAAGCUCAAUGGAUACAAAUGAAGCUUGAAUAGAUAACUGUAGAAAAAACUCUAAGAACUCUUGUAAUAACCUUUGUAAAGAAUAAUGUAAUUAAAUUUUACUCUAAACUUUGUCCAUGCCUUGUAAUAUAUUCUUACCUUUCCGUCAAUGUAUAAAGUGCUUCGGUGUGAACGAACUUAGCAUUUUUGAGCCGAAGGCGAAGAACACCUUCCCUUCUUUUCGUACACAGUGAAGCAUAAAACUGCUUCUAUUUCUUUUUUGCCAAAGCCUUAACUUUAGAGCCGAAGCAACUGCCUGUGUUAUGAUGAUGAUCCUAUGUAUGUCAAAAUGAAUGUUUAUGAAUGCAAAUGUAUGAUGUAAUGUACCGUGCAAAUGAAUGUCCAAACACACGCAUACGAAGCCACAACCAUAGCCUUUAUUCCCUUAGGAAUAACCAAAGUCUCUUUGUCGUUUAUUUUUCGGCUUCACCGCUUAUUUUUUGGUGUAUCAGCGCUGACUUUUCGCUGUAAGUUCUGCAUUCCCUUAGGAACGUCUUUUGAACUUAUUCGCCUUCUAUUUCGGCGGUAUCGCGUUGACUUUUCGCGCUUCGCCUUAUAUUUCGGCGGAAUCAGCGUUGACUUUUCGCUGUAAGAUCUGCAUUCCCUUAGGAACGACUUUUGAGUAGAAAACUUACACUGCGCUCCCUUAGGAACGACUUUUUGUAGCUUCGUCGUGCUCUGCAUCCCCUUAGAGACGUCUUUCGAGCUUCUCCCUGUUUUUUCUUUUCUCUUUGCACUCGAUGGUGCAUGCUCAACUUUUACAUUUACAUUUUUUUGGGGGAUAUUGCUCUUGUAGAGCUAAAAUAAGAAAAAGAGAAAUUACAUGCUAUGGCCCAUUAAAAACCUUUCUCCCCCUUUAGAAAGGAAAAGGGUGCCAUAAGAAAAAAUAAAAAAGAUUACAUCAAGCUAUACAUAAUAUCGCCGAAGCUCAUCCGCAUUCCAAGAUCUAGGAAUGUCGUUGCCGUCCAUAUCCUUCAAUCUGUAAGAACCGGGUCUUGACGAAGACACUACCAGAAAAGGUCCUUCCCACUUCAAUUGUAGCUUGCCUACUGUAUCUGGGUUGGCAACUCUCCGAAGUACCAAGUGCCCUGGCUUGAUGUUUUUUAACCGAACUUUUCUAUCACGCCAUUUUAUUGUUUCAGCUUGAUAUUUAUUGAUGUUCUCCACAGCCUGAAGCCUGAUCCCUUCUAUAGCAUCUUUUGCCACAGAAUAAUCAGCUUCGUCCUCUGCCGAAGCUACUGUUCUUAUUGAUCCUGCUUUAGCUUCUUUUGGGGUUAUUGCUUCGUCACCAAACAAUAAUUUGAAUGGUGUAAAACCUGUUGACCUUGAUAUUGUUGUGUUGUGGCUCCACACCACUUUGAUCAAUUCAUCUGGCCACUUUCCUCUGGGCUGAUUGAAGAUUAACUUCAUUAUUCCCGUCAUUAUAAUGCCAUUAGCUCUUUCGACAAGUCCAUUUGACUCCGGAUGUCUAACCGAUGCAAAAUGGAUCUCCGUGCCAAUUUGUUCACAAAACUCUUUGAAAGUUUCGGCAUCGAACUGUGUUCCGUUGUCCACAGUAAUAGCCUUCGGCACUCCGAAGCGACAAACAAUAUUUUGCCAGAAAAAUUUCUGGACAGUGACCGAAGUUAUUGUGGCUAAAGGCUUUGCCUCGAUCCACUUGGAAAAAUAUUCUACCGCCACUACAACAUAUUUUAGAUUUCCUUGUGCUGGUGGAAGUGGGCCUAGCAAAUCGAGGCCCCAUCUUUGCAACGACCAAGUGGCUGUAUUAACUGAGUUAGAGACAAAGCUUGUUUCUGAUCUCUUGCACAUUUUUGACAUCCUUCACAUUUUUGAACUAACCCUGCUGCAUCCGAAGCUGCCUUCGGCCAAUAAAAUCCUUGACGAAAAUUUUUUCCCAGCAAGGGCCUAGAUCCGAUGUGAGAUCCACACAGACCUGCGUGUAUCUCCUUCAUCAAUUCGAUACCUUCGAUUCUUGAUAAACAUUUGAGGAGUGGUGAACAAACUCCAUGUUUAUACAAUUCCCCUUCUAUCAUGACAUAUGGUCUUGUUCUUGCCUCCAUUCUUUUGUUAUAAGCUUCGUCACUUGAAAGACAAUUUCCUUGAAGGAAAGAUAUUAUUUCAGUUCUCCAAUCUUCACUGUGCACUGGAGAAAUAGUGAGCACUGCUCUUUCCAUGAGCUCAACCGAAGGUGCUUUUAUUGUUUCAAAAAAUACUUCGGAGGGUAAAGGGAGCCCCUGAGCCGCUGAUUUGGCUAGCAAAUCUGCAUGCUCAUUUUCACCUCUUGGAAUAUUUUUGACAGAAAACCCUUCGAAGGAAGCUUCCAACCUUCGGACUGCAUCCAGAUAUUUUUCUAGCUUCGGGUCUCGUGCCCUGCUGCUCUUAUCCACAUGGCCAGCAAUAACUUGAGAAUCAGUAUUUAGGAUGGCCCUUCUUUUUCCCAUUGCCCUUAGUUUUCGAAGCCCCAAAAGAAGUGCUUCGUACUCAGCAAUAUUAUUUGUGCAACUGAAGUCCAGUUUGACUGCAAAACAUGUUUUGACUUUUGAAGGUGCUACUAGGACUGCAGCUGCUCCUACACCGAAGGUUCCCCAAGAACCAUCACAGAACACCGUCCAAGCUUCGGUAUCCUUGUUUGUCACUUCUUCGUGAGCCCCUGGCGUCCAGUCAGCAAUGAAGUCUGCUAGCGCCUGGGAUUGAAUUGAAGAUCUGUGCACGUAAUCAAUGGUAAAUUCAUUGAGCUCCGCAGCCCACUUUCUUUCCCUUCCAGUAGCUUCUCUAUUCCUCAUAAUAUCCUUCAGAGGCUAUGACGAGGGAACAAUUAUGUGGUAAGCUUGGAAAUAAUGCCGAAGCUUCCUGGAAGCCAUUAAUACAGCAUGCAAUACUUUCUCCAACUCUGUAAUUUUUCUUUGAUAAGCUUAACACUUCAGAGACAAAAUAUACUGGGACUUGCUUUUUAUUUUGUCCUUCAAGCUUCUCUUGUACAAGUGCCGCACUCACUGCAGAGUGCGAAGCUGCCACAUACAAUAGCAGAGGAGCCCCUGGAGCGGGUGGAGUUAGCGUAGUUAGGUCUAUCAGGUACUGCUUUAGCUCUUCGAAGGCUUUCUGCUGAGCUGAUCCCCAUUGAAAGACGUCGGCCGACUUCAGCACUUCAAAGAAUGGUAAAUUUCUCUCUGCUGAUCUAGAUAUGAAUCGAUUCAAAUAUGCCAGUCUUCCUAUCAGCCGUUGAGCCCCCUUCUUUGUGCUUGGCGGCUCCAUCCGAAGGAUUGCUUUGAUUUUAUUUGGAUGAGCUUCGAUCCCUUUUGUUGAAACUAAACAACCAAGGAAUUUUCCCUUUUUUACUCCGAAGACACAUUUUUUGGAUUCAACUUCAGACCAGCUUGCCUAAAAUUAGCAAAUGUUUCCUGCAGAUCAGCAAUGUGAUUUUCCUGCUUCGUGCUUUUUUACUAUGAUAUCAUCAACAUAUGUUAGCACAUUUCUGUCUAUCUGAGAGUGAAGGACUUUCGAUGUCAUCCUACUAAAGCUUCCUCCAGCAUUCUUGAGCCCCUCAGGCAUCCGAAGAUAACAAUAUGUUCCGCUGGGGGUUAUGAAGCUGGUUUUUGGCUCAUCUUCCUUCUUCAUCCAGAUUUGAUGGUAUCCUAGAUAGCAAUCUAGUAUACUCAUGAGCUUUGACAAAGCUGCUGCAUCUACUAGAGAAUCUAUUCUUGGUAAUGGGAACUCAUCCUUUGGACAAGCUUUGUUGAGAUCAGUAAAAUCAAUGCACAUUCUCCAUUUACCAUUGGCCUUCUUCACCAUAACAGUGUUGGCUAGCCAUUCUAGGUAUUUUACUCUUCUGAUGACUCCAGCACUGAGAAGUCUUUUCACUUCAUUCCGAGCACCUUUGGCUUUGUCAUCAGACAUUUUCCGAAGCCUUUGCUUUCUGGGUAUGAAGGAUGGAUCGACAUUGAACGAAUGUUCAAUGACAUCCCUGUUGACACCACAUAGAUUGUUGGCUGACCAUGCAAAAACAUAUUUGUUGUUGAACAGAAACCUUGUUAGAGUUUUUUCCUGUUCCUCAGACAAUUGAGAUCCAAGCAAUACCUUUUGCUCUACUAUAUCUUCACAUAAAAGCAUGGGCUUCGGCUGAUCGGCCGAAACAACCUUCUCCCUUCUGUACUUGUACUGCUCACAAGCUUCUGCUCCAUCUAUAUUAUGAAUUGCUUUUGAGUCUGUCCAGUUUCCUUCAGCCUUUCUAGCAGCUUCCUGACUUCCAUGAAUAGCAAUAGGCCCUUGAUCCGAAGGUAUCUUCAUGCAUAGAUAUGCUGGAUGAAGAAUUGCUUCAAAAGCAUUGAGUGUCCCACGACCAAUGAUUGCAUUGUAGGGGUACUCCAUGUCGAAAAUAUCAAACACAACUUGCUCAGUCCUUGUAUUGUUGACAAAUCCGAAGGUCACUAGCAUCGUGAUCUUGCCGAGCGCUACAAUAUGCCUUCCUCCGAAGCCACAAAGAGGGUGUGUAGCAUCAUGAAUCUUAUCCUCUGGCUCUUGCAUCUGUCUGAAGGCCUUAGCAAAUAUAAUAUCCGCUGCACUGCCUGUAUCAACUAGAACAUUGUGGACCAAAAAUCCUUUGAUAACACAAGAAAUAACCAUAGCAUCAUUGUGAGGGUAAUCCUUGAGCUGAAGGUCCUCUUGGGAGAAGGUAAUUAGGAUAUGGGACCAUCCCGACUUGAUGAAGGGUUGCUGCACUCCGACAUGCUGUACCCUUCUCUGUGCCUCCUUCUUCUGCUUUUUGUUGGCCGGCUCUGAGCAUGAAUCGCCUGUUAUCGGGAGUACCAGCUUCGUAGCCGAAGCAGCUCCAGCUUGGUUGUUGAACGAAGCCAUCAACUCAAAAAGUGGAAGUGAGUUCACCGGAGGUGGGCGCCAAUGUUGGGGACUUGUUCUCAAAUGCUAUGAAUUAAGAACAAGGCAACAUAAAAUGUUAAAUAUUAAUGCCCUUCGUCCACUGAAGCAUUAUUUCCCCAAGGAUUUAAUGAACUUCGGACGAAGGCCACGAGCAAGAUAUCACGAAGGUCAUACCUUCGUGAUUAGAGUUAUGAAACAAUGUAGGAUGAAAUAUAAAAAAAUAUGAAACAUAAGGGAAUGAUAUAUCAAAAACACAUAAGAUUAUUCGUAUAUUUUAUUAUACAAGCCUAAAUAUUAAAACAUAAUAUUUAGGUACAUUUAUACCUUCGCCUUGGCAGAAAGUAAUAAUUCCAGCGUAAUGUGUCAGUGAUUACAAGAUUGCGUGAACAGAGGUACUGUUCACCUAUUUAUAGGCACAGGGCGCAGCCUCUGUAUAAUUACAUUUAUGCCCUUUACAAUCAACUACAAUAAUGACACAGAAUAUCAUGGGUCUUUAGGUCAUUUCAUCUUUAAGUCGGUUCACCCCUUCGUCUUGAGACAUGUCACUUGUGCCGAAGCUUUAUAGGCGAUAGCUUCGGCAUUGCUUUUGAUAGGAUCUACCGAAGGUGUUUCUUUCUUUAGGAUCUUCGGCUAUGAAGCAUACCCCCAACAGGAACCUAUUGGCUUAGGUCUUGGGCCAUGUUGCAGAAAAGCGAAGAGGAAGGAGACAAAAUAAAAGCUGCUUGUCAAUGAUUAGAGAUUGUGGCAAUGAAGAUUUUUGCUUCUAAUGGAUGGAGGUUUAUAAAUAGGAAUGUGUUACAACCAAACUAUCUAUCCUUUCAGUUGAGCUAUUGUUUUGUUUUAGAGGUUCGAUCCUCUUUUUGGGGCAGAUGUUUUUGGGGCAGAUGGAUGAGCUGUUGGUCCUGUAAUAACUUGGCCCUAUCAUCCCAGUGAGGUGAAAGCCGGAUAUUUUCCAUUUUCUAAAAAAAUAUAGUCAUAUUGAUUGACAGUUUAUGAACUAAAAAUUUGACAGUUUAUGACUAAAAAUGACUAAACUUUAGUCAUUAGUGUUUAGGAGGUGGGAACCAAACUCACUCUGUCUAACACGAUAAUGAUCGUGACCUUCAUGCAUGGCUACAUCCAUCUUUAUCUAUGUUGAUUUUGUUGCUUAGAGAUAUGGAUAGAGUUUUGUUGACGCUAAAUGCAACCGAAUUAACCUGUAACCCAAGAAUAUAAUUAGGCCGUUCAGCCAAUAUAUAUCAACACACCCUCAUUCCAUGUGAAUGGUUGCCCGAAUACGCCCACCUCGCGUUAGCCUCAACCGCUGGGAACGUGGCCGAGCCGCGUCUCCGCGGUGGGGCAGCAAAACAAAGGCUACCAUGCACACAUGGGUGCAGCAUGCCACCAUCCUCUACAACCAACCAAUCACGUGCUUUGUCUGGUCAAGGGCAUGUGGUGUGCCUUAGCGUAUUUGGUUGGGCAACUAAUCACGUGGAUUAUGAGCCAAGCUAGGAAAUCACGUUUCCAUAUAGUUGUUUUACAUAUGGUACAAAAGAGUAAAAGACCUACCUCUAUAAUUUGUCUUGAUAUAACCUAUUUGAAGUUUUUUAUUAAAUUAUUUUGUCAAAUUGUUGUCUUGUGCAGUCUUGAUAGCUAGCAACCAAUCGCCCAGUUUGAUUCGGCUUCUAAACCCACUCCUUUUAUUUUUUGAGUUCACGACAUUUGUAAGCAGUGAUGCCUCAUGCUACCCCUAUUUUCAGUGUAAAUAUGAUCUCUUAAGAUUCAUACAAUGUAAAUAUAAGAGAUAGCAAUUGUCCAGUACUUGCAACAACCUAGUACUUGCAACAACUUGCAUACUAUGAUGGCAAUAAGUGAAAAUUGAAGAAUACUCGGUAUUUCUUUUAGAAAUUUGUAUUUGCAUUUUUUAUGUUGGUGAUGGAUGAGGCCAUAAGGGACAUAUAAAGGGAUAUUUCUUGGUGUAUGCUCUUUACUGAUGAUAUGGUGUUAGUUGAUGAGAGUAGGGAAGGGGUUAAUAGGAAGCUAGAGUUCUAGAAGCACACGUUGGAGUCGAAAGAUUUUAGACUUAGUAGGACCAAGACCGAGUACAUGAUGUGCGUUUUCAGCAUGACUAGACAUGAUGAUGGAGAAGUUACCCUCGAUGGGCAAUUGGUGGCUAGGAAGGAGACUUUUCGGUAUUUAGAAUCAAUGAUACAAAAGGAUGGUAAUGUUGAUAAAGAUAUUAGGCAUAAAUUUCAGUCGGUUGGUUGAAAUGGUGUCAUGUUUCUGGCGUCCUCUAUGGUAAGAGGGUGCCACAAAAGAUUAAAGGUAAGUUUUAUAGGAUGGUGUUUCGCCCGGCUAUGGUGUAUGAUGUUGAAUGUUGGCCGAUAAAAAGGGGACAUGUCCAACAAUUGAGUGAAGAGGUGCACAUGUUACAUUGGUUUUGUGGGCACACAAGAGGGAUAGAGUCUGAAACGAAGAUAUUCUAAGAUAGUGUCAUUGGCACCAAUUAGGAGAAAUUAUAUCAACAUCGGUUGAGAUGGUUUAGGUUUUUCUUUCUAUUCUUAUUUCUUUUGGGUUUCGUCUCUGGUCUACCCUAAUUGUUUGGGACAAAAGGCUAUGUUGUUAUUGUUGUUACUGCUGGUGCUGCUAUUUAUGUUUUAGGUAUAAGGACCGUGGAGAGUCUAAAUUGAGGAUAAGGAACAAACAUUUCAACAUUAUAUUACCUGCUCUGUCACACAAUGCAAUUUGCAUCUAGCAGUGUAAGGGCCUGUUAUUCGAGGUGGAUUGAAGAGAAUUGGAGGAUGUCCCCUCUAAUUUCGAUAUGGAUCGAAGGAGAUUAUUGGAGAACCUAGGCGUAAGACGGCUACCAAAACCUGACGCAGCGUAGCUCGCCUACCCUGGUAGUAUUGAAAGUCUUUCCAUUCUCGCAGAUUUCACAGUGUUCAAAAGGUUAUAUAAGAAGAGAUGAUAAACAGGUGUUCUUGUUUUAUACAGUGUGUAUAUAUAGAGAGAGACAAAGAGCAAGUGAAUUUGUAGGAACAACGCCCACGGAGAACGAACGCAAGCCUAUUUCCUCAUCACAAGGAACGGAGGCAUACAUAGGUCUCAUGUGUGAGCACUGAGCACCGCUGGUUCCGGAUCAUCCUCAUGCCUUCCACCAUGGGUCCUCGCCGGUCCUGAAGUCGGUCUCCACCCACGGGACGAAGAGGACCUUGCCGUCGUCGACGUCGGCGUGAACCAGGGCCAGCGACUGUUAAUACAAGAACGCGCAAUAUUAAUGCAUACCAAGCAGAUCAACAAUUCGUUCCAAUAAGGAAGAUAUCGCCCCAGCUAGCGUGCGUUUGUUUUUACCAGAGGCGCCGGUCCACGGACCACCUUGCCCUGGUUGUUGUACUGGGAUCCGUGGCAGGGGCAGAUGAACUUGUUCUCAGCGCCGUUCCACGGCACGACGCAGCCGAGGUGAGUGCACACGGCGUUGAUCCCGUAGGUGGCCAGCGUCUUGUCCUGCUCCACCACCAGGUACGUGGGGUCACCCUGCACGCGCGGCGGCGCGCACAAACACGCCGGCCGUCAGCAUCAGCACGACAGACAUGCCUGCAGCUGCAGGUGACGACGACGAUGGCGGUGGGGUGACUGACCUUGAGCCCCUGCGCGAGCGUGCGGUCGUUGGGACCGUGCGUGUUGAGCCACGCCUCCACCGUGAUGUCGUUGCCCAGCUUGUCCUUCGCGUAGGUCCCGCCGCCGGCGUUCCCGGAGCUGCGUGCAAGAUCAACAGGACGAGGUACUUUCCGUUAAGUGCUGGCUGGCAGCUAACACGUAUGUACAGCGAGCCGCUAGGUAGCGAGACGACUCACCCGGCAGGGACGAAGAAGGCGCCGUAGGGGACGACCAUGCCGACGGUGGGCAACGAGAUGGCGCCGAGGAGGAGGAGGUUCAUCAGCUUCCGCUUCUCCAUGUCGGGGACGCGGUCGGCGGAGAUGCUGCUCGCCGCCUGGCACACAAUGCUCCGCUGGGCGCGCUCGCGGCCCAUGCUCAGGCCAAGCCCCUUCACCGGCUUGCCCAGCGAAGCGCGGGACCGGUAGAGCUGACAUUGCAGGCACGGGCAGCACAUACAAAUAAAGCAUGCGUAUUAUUCGCGCGAUUCAGAUUUAUCUUUGGUGAGCAAGAUCGAACACGCUGAUGAAGACUAGCAACGCCAUGGGCAGAGACUCUGUUUCCCCACGGCCAAACUGACACGAGACAAGGGUCAAGGCCAGGUGAGAGAGGCGCCCCGCGGCGGAAGAAGGAAGUUGCUGGCUCACCUGGGUGGGAUUGGCGGCGGUGGAGAGCGCCGCGGAGGUCGCCAUGGCUGCAGCAGGCGAGGAUCGGUAGGGGUCAGGAGUCGGGACAAUACGGCU